UUGCUGCAAGACCAAGCUCCUUCUUUUGCAUCCUCUACCUUUUUUUUUUCCGGAUGCCCUUUAGGCCUCUCUGUUAUCUCCCCAAAUAUUCUUGCUGCACUUUGCACUUCACUUCCUGCUGCCUUCCCACAGAAGAACUCUUGGCUUAAUUCCUCAGGUGCCUGUGGGCAAGAAUGUUUAGGGAGCUGUCUCAGCCCUUAGGGAAUGACAGGAAUGCUGAGAAUUUCAGGCACUACUUUGCAGACCCCAAGGAAAGAAAGUUUUGGCCCAGAGUAGGGCAGAGGGGCCUUCAGAACACCUCAGAUCACAGUGACCUUCAUCUAUGGAACUGCCCCUGAAGCCAGACCUCGUCUGGAAAUCCUUCCCUGUCUGCUGACCUAGAAACGGAGGCCUCUGGGAAAGGUACAGCUUUGUCAGGCAUCAUUGAUCAGAUCUGUUUACCAGAACAUGAAAUAAAUGAAGAGAGACCACGUUGGAAUAAACAAGACACUUAACUCAGGGUAGCAUGGCAGAACUCUCAGUGGCUGAUCAUGGGACUGGUAAAGAUUGAAAGAAGAUGGAGACGUUACCUCAAGAUUUCAUUGAACGAAGAUGAAGGCUGUUGGCAUUUUGAAAAUUUCUUUAAAACACGAUGGUGUUGCAUGUAGACAAUAAUAUC